AAAUAAGAGUGUCCUAUGGCCUAUCUGGCCAUCCAACGAAUCCAAAUACCGUGGGUGGAUGAUAGAUAGACAUAGUUUCCUGUCUGAGACCAUACCUUUGAAGAGGUGAAAAAUUGUCCUUUGUUCUUGGCCAAGAAAGAAGAGACUAGCGUUUUCAAUACUAGAAAAAAUGAACUACAUUUUAGGUGCUGUGACGUCCAAGGCCCGGCAACACCCCCCUUCUCCGCCUUUCGCGGGGAAAGAGAAACCUGAAUUUUAAUUUUCUUGUUAGAAUUAAAUAUGGGUCAAAUAAAUUUUUAAUCUUUUUUUCUUCUAUAAAGCCCCAUUACAACUCUACCGUUUCUCCCUCUUUUUCUCUCUCUCUCUCUCGUUUCCCUUCCCUGCUCUCUCUCUAUUCACCAAACAUUUUUUUCCCUUUCUCAUACCAAA
rnacentral:misc_RNA from 1 species